UUCUCUCUCUCUCUCUCUCUCUCUCUCUCUCUCUCUCUUUGUGUGGGUGUGUCAGAGAGAGAGAGACAGGGGGGAGAGAGAGAGAGAGAGAGAG